rnacentral:tmRNA from 1 species
GGGGAUGAACGGUUUCGACGGGAAACUCGCACUUUUAAAAAUGGUUAGGGCGCAUCUAUGCGACAAAUAGAAAAAAACAACUGCUGAAGAAAAAGAAGCAGCUGAGGCUUUUGUCGCCAGAAGCUUUGCAUAUCAAUAUGCAUACGCUGCUUAAGCGAUAAAGUCUUCCUUUCUUUAAGUUUUGCCUGAUUUAACUUAAAGAAGGGUAAACCAAUCAGGCAGUUGUCCAAAAGAGUUUUUGGUUGGCUUUUGGAGCAACUUAAAAAAAUCAACCAACUGCUUUUUGACGUUUGGUUAUUUUUCACCAAAAAGCAAAAGUCAAAAAUAACCUAUCCCUAACUAAACAUUUUUAAAAGUGUUUUCUCGGACUCCGGUUCAACUCCGGACAUCUCCACCA